rnacentral:lncRNA from 1 species
UUAACUCAUAAAAAGAAAAGAAAAUCUAAAAAUUAAUUGUAGAACUGAAUGGUUCGGAUCGGUUCGUAGUAUAAUUUGGUUUUGUUCGGUUGUAAGUUCUUUUUUUUUUAAAUUAAAAAAUUCAGUUCGGUUUGAGAUUUGCCCUAUAACUGAACCAAAUCGAACCGAUUACACCUCUAACCCUCUCCUUCGCUACCGACCGUUCCUAACGCAAGUGGCAAAGAGCUUGGUAGAGGUCUCAAGUUCGAAUCCUAAUUGAUUCACAUUUUCAGCUAAGUUUAUUUCUAAAUGAAAUAAACGAAACGAAUAACAUGCUAUCUAUCUCUAAAAAAAAAAAGAAACUCUCUCCUUCCCUCUAUACAUCUCUCUCUCUCUCUAAAAUUA